GCGGCCGCGCUGCGGGCUGGUCCUGGGAAUCUGGCUCUCCUGUCCGCCUCCGGAUUCUUUCAGGACGUGCGCUCCCUUUCCUUCCCCCGUGGAAAACUUCCAGGAGGGCUUGCUGUUUUUUUUAAAUGAUUGCAUAGAACCAUCAGACAAAACCCUGGUGCGCCGAGCGCGGUCCUUUCAGAGGGGGCAGCACUUCAGCUCCUGCCCCACCUGGCAGCCGGGGCCCCAGUGCCGCUCCAGCCGCGGAGCCAGCGGCCGGAGUUGGGUAGGACGCAGCGCGGGCGGCGGGCACGGUUCUUUCUUGCGAGAGUCCUUUCCAUUUCAAGCAGAGAAGCCGAAGUAUUUUUACCCAGUAGAGGAAUGAUGUAGUUCCACCCAGAACCUUCUUUUCUUAUAUGCUUCCAGAAGUCAUAGUUGACAUAAAAUUUUACCCUGGCUAACCCUCUGAGGAACUGAGACAUUCAGAUCUGCUGCUUAGAGGU